GACGAACGCUGGCGGCGUGCUUAACACAUGCAAGUCGAACGGAAAGGCCCUGCUUUUGUGGGGUGCUCGAGUGGCGAACGGGUGAGUAACACGUGAGUAACCUGCCCUUGACUUUGGGAUAACUUCAGGAAACUGGGGCUAAUACCGGAUAGGAGCUCCUGCUGCAUGGUGGGGGUUGGAAAGUUUCGGCGGUUGGGGAUGGACUCGCGGCUUAUCAGCUUGUUGGUGGGGUAGUGGCUUACCAAGGCUUUGACGGGUAGCCGGCCUGAGAGGGUGACCGGCCACAUUGGGACUGAGAUACGGCCCAGACUCCUACGGGAGGCAGCAGUGGGGAAUAUUGCACAAUGGGCGGAAGCCUGAUGCAGCAACGCCGCGUGCGGGAUGACGGCCUUCGGGUGGUAAACCGCCUUCGCCUGUGACGAAGCGUGAGUGACGGUAAUGGGGAAAGAAGCACCGGCUAACUACGU
rnacentral:rRNA from 1 species